GACAGAGGGUGCAAACGUUGUUCGGAAUUACUGGGCGUAAAGCGCGUGUAGGCGGCCCUGCAAGUCGGGUGUGAAAUCCCACGGCUCAACCGUGGAAGUGCACUCGAAACUGCAGGGCUAGAGUCCUGGAGAGGAAGGUGGAAUGCUUGGUGUAGAGGUGAAAUUCGUAGAUAUCAAGCGGAACACCGGUGGCGAAGGCGGCCUUCUGG
rnacentral:rRNA from 1 species